UUUACUACAUUAAACUGCAGUAAAAUUCUUAUGUACUAUAGUAUACUUUAAUAUGUACUGUAGUGAGGUUCAAAUAUACUAUAGUGUUAACUACUGUAUAUGAAUUAACUACGAGUAAUUUAACUUUAUUUUGACGGGUUGUCGCCAGGACGCUUAAGUAUCAUUGUGUGUUUGGCGAUAGCUUCACUCAAACAGUGAAACACUCAGAACAGCUCUGUGGAUGAAGUUCACGUGUUCAUGUCCUUGUAUAGUGCUGUUAAAGUAAUAUAUCAUGCAGUGAGGUAAAACAAAAUGACCUUUAAUGUUUAAAUGAUGCGAGCGCACUGCUCUUUGCAGAACAAAGAACGCGUGUGCUGGAGACGCGCACACACUUUUCACACACUCACUUAAUAAAUAGACACACGUUCAUCUUGACAUAUUAUACGAUUUUACUUAGAUCAUAAAUUUUCCAUACAAUAACAUAAUAGAUAGAAAUGACCAGAUUCAUUGUCCAGGUUAUCUGAAGUUUAUCAGACAACGUCGCUACAGCUUUCUCCAUUGGAUAAAUCCACAACCCUAUUUGAGCACGUGGCUAGAAUGUUUCUGCAACGUUAGCAAAAAUUCUUAGAAAUUAAGCGUUGAAAAGAUGUCCUCAGAGCGUGGUCACAAAGUAAUGUCACAGUGACCAUAUGAAGAUGAACUGGUGACAUUGUCAGAACGUACGGUUUUGCUCGGAACUGGGUAGUAUGUCAUAAUAAUGAGUUCAACAUUGUUAUGAGAUAAUAAGUUAUAAUGAAUUAUAAGUUAUAAUUUUAUAAUGAUAAAAUAAAAUAAGGCAAAAUGCAAGCUUCCAUAUUUAUGUCACUCAUGUCUUAAACGCACUAAAAAUGUUAACAUAAUCUGUAAACACUGGUGAAGUUGAAUGUUGUGGUACUUUUGGCUUUCCAUUCCAUUUAAAGUUUGCAAUAACCAAAAGAAAACUUUUGCGAAAUUGUCUUGUUUCCAUAAAUUUCUCAUGCAGACUGGCAUAAAGUUGAUAUGACUCUUAAAAUUUGUAUCCAGUUGCGAAAAACAUCAAUAGAUCCUUGGAUGAGUCUAACUGUAUAAAAAUGGGUUAAUUUGAAAAGUUUUUAAACGUAAAAGUCAAUACAGAUGACAGUUUAUUUGUUUCUUACAUCUUCCUAACUGCGUAACUACACUCAAGCAGUGACCCAGAUAGCACAGUUAUGUCUGCAAGAUGUCUGCUAAAGGUCUGGAAAACGCAUGUGAGAAAACAUCUGCUAAAUAUCUUAGAAAGAGCAGUUUUAAAUCCAUUCUAAAUCACAAACAUCUAACAAGAUGUCUGACAGCAGCCGUGUCCGAGACAAACAUGUUUUGCGGAUGAAAAUGCAACAUCAAAUAAAUGUCUCCCAGAUGUUUGUGUGCUAUCAGAGCUCCUGGGUCCUAAAGUACACCAUUUCUCACAGCACACACAGACAGAUGAUAUGCUGAAUUGUGUUGUGUUUAGAUGAAAAUCUGAUGUUCUGUUAAAUCUGAACUAGAAAAACGUUUAACCUCAUGACCCCGAUGUGCCAUGAUGUAUGUAAAUGUUAUUUUGUGUUUACGAUAGCAUUUUGUCAGAAUGCAGCGCUUUAUAAUGUCACAUGCUAAUUUAAAUAUCUGUGACAUCAUCACAUAGUUUUUAACUCCCCUCGCCAUUGACGAGAUAUCUCGUUUAUUAAAGCCCCAUGUAUACAUUCCGUGUCCAUCUCACAGACGUCCAAGUUUGACACAAGUGCAGAACAAAUGAGUAUGUGUGCUCUUCCAGACCGUCAGAGGCCAGCACAGAGUCGCGUCACUCACAGACACACUGCAAAUUAGUAAAAGAGGAAGUCUUCCGCCAUUGCAAACGAUCCGAGCAAACAGCAAGACAACAAGAACAAAACCAAACCGUAUGAAGAAGGAUAUACCUCUUAACUUACUGUUCUUGGUUUCAGUGUGUUGGUUUUGUAUCGUUCUUCUUCGACAAUGGCAGACUGCACACUUUCUGUGUGUUUAUUGACCCCUAAUGGACGCAUGCGCUGUUGUACGCGUGUGUGUGCUGGGUGUUCAGAUGACAGUGGACCUUCCGGACCAUACCUGCUCCAGAAUGAUUUACUGGACUUCCUGGUGCAAAAUGCAAAGAUGAUCCACAUAAACGGAACUAGUGGAGGAUCGGAGAACAUAUCGAUCUUAUCACAAAUAAAAGUGAAGAGGUAUACAACUGAACAGGACCUGUAGGUGUGGAACUCGGACUCCACUUAAUCAUAUUUUGACCAUUUUGAUUCUGAUUGGGAUGAUGUAAGGUAGAGAGUCAGUGAGGAGAUGACUUUCCAGACACAGAAACUUCUAAUCGUGUCGUUGGUAGAUCGCUAACCCGUCGAUCUGUGCGAAGACGAAGUUCACCAUUUUUUUUUUACGCGUGGACACUUGAUAUUUCGGACGUCGUUUCUUCGGACACUUCGUGGAGACAUUAAAGGCACAGGUCUCCUCUGUUCCGACAUGCCAGAGAGAAGAGAGGUAGAAUACAGCAACGAGCCAGAGGACGGACACGUGAAGCACAUCAACAUGGUCCUGCUGGUGACCAUCCUGAACCAGCUGAAGAUCCUGAACCAGCUGAAGAUCUUAAACCUGUUAGUCACGAGUGGCAUGAAAUGAACUGGCAGCCUAAAAACCUGACCUUCACUGAAAAUCCUGGGCCUGUCGGUGAUGCUGCUGCUCUUGAUUCAAUAGAACCUAAAGACUUUAUUGAACUGUUCAUUUCUGAUGUACUGAUUCAGAACAUUGUUGACCAGACCAACCUGUUUGCAGAUCAGUGUAUUCAUGACACAGAUGGUACUUCACAGCAUGCUAGAAUUCAUGCAUGGAAGCCUGUCACAGGUUCAGAAAUGAAAACCUUCCUGGGGCUGUUUUUUCUCACUGGUAUCAUUCAUAAGCCCGAACUUGAUAUGUACUGGUCCACAGAUGAAAUGUUAGCUACCCCUUACUUCAGCAAGGUCAUGUCUCGCAACAGGUUUGAAAUCAUAUUGAGAUUUCUUCACUUCAAUGAUAAUACAGCAAGGCCAGCCAAUGACACUGACAGGCUGUACGAAGUCAGCCCCGUGUUAGAUUACCUUGUGUCCAAAUUCCGUGAAAUGUAUCAGCCAAACACAAACAUUUGCAUCGAUGAGGGUAUGCUUCUUUGGCGUGGGCGCCUAGCUUUCAGGGUGUACAAUCCUAAAAAACCCAUCAAAUAUGGAAUAAAAUCCUACAUCUUGUGCGAUUCUGAAACAGGAUACUGUUUCAACAUGAAGCCCUAUUGUGGAGAAAGCCCUCCCCUGAAGGACACAGUUGUCUCUCUUCUUGAUCGCCUAGCAGGUCACGGCUACAGAUUAUUUAUGGAUACUUUUUACAACUCUGUCCCACUGUGUAAGCACCUACUUGAUUUGAAAACCCAUGUCUGUGGGAAAAUGAGGGAAAACCGAGGUGAACCACCAGUCAUCCGAGAUCUCAGAAAUGCUGACCUUAGGAUUGGGGAAACAGUCAUGCGUCACAGUGAAAAUGUGAUGGUCUUGGCUUGGCGAGACAAACAAACGGUGAAAAUGGUCACAACAUGUCAUGAGAACAACACGGAAGAAGUUGAGGGAUGGCAGAGAGGCCACCGAGACAAAAUUGCAAAGCAAAAACCAGCAUGUAUUGUGGAGUACAAUAAUGCAAUGAAGGGAGUUGACAGAUUGGAUGAAAAUAUUGGGUACUACCCCUUUGUACGGAAGUCACAGAAUUGGACAAAGAAAUUUGUCAUGUAUCUGUUUCAGAUCAGUUUGUUCAAUGCUUUUGUGAUUUACAAAGCAAAAAACCCACAAGGUAACUGUAAAAGUCUGUUCUCUUUCAUCAUGAGUGUUGUAAAAUCAUGGACCAGCCAAGAACAGGCCGGUGGUGGGGAAGAAAGAGAUGAAAACCCUCCAGCUGUAAACACUCCUAGAGCACCAUACAACACUGACCCUAUAAAUAGGGUGAAUGAACUUUUUGCCAUCCAUGCACUUGUUCCGAUUAGGUCCAGUUCCAAAAAGCAACGCCCAACGAGAAGAUGCAGAGUUUGUUCACGUAAGGGUUUGCGAAGUGAGACCUCAUUUUACUGCAAAGGUUGUUGCGUCCCCUUGCAUUCUGGGAAUUGCUACACAGUUUAUCACUCAAAGAUAAACUACAGUGCCUAAAAGUUAUUUACUGUUUUUCCUAAAUCUAUUUUGGUUGAAAGUUCACUUUGUUUAAAACAAUUCAUUUUCAAAAUGUUGUAUUUUUGCUGAAACCGAUCUGCAUUUCAGUGGUGAUAAAACAUGAACACAUGAAGAUGUAAUAAAAAAGUUUUUGGUUUAAAGCAGAGGCUUGGUUCUUUAUUUUGAUAUAUACGUAAUAUGUUCAAAUACUCAUUGCAGAAAUAUUCUGUGGGCUGUCAAAUUUUGAUGAAAAUCCUGGUGAUGGCUGGUAACUUAAAAAAAAUACCUUGUUAGUGUUAGGUUUUGGAAACAUCAUUUAGCUUUGUUUUUAUUCACGUGUCGGUGGCCGUACAGUGAACUGAAUGUGCCGUUUCUCUCUGCUGCUCACUGGAUAGAAUGACGUUGAGAGAGACAAUCUUUACGUGAGUCAGUACUGAUGAAAGUUUCCCACUGAAUUUAAGCCAAGGUUUAUCUGAAAAGACGCUAGGUUUAGUGUUAUGGAUCUAAAUCUGCUAAAUCAAGUAAAAGAGUUGCAAACUUGGCAACAUUGGCCAAACAAAGAAGGAAUGAAUGUGUCACUGUGUCACUUAGAAGCUGUAGCCGCAGAGAAGAGGAUUUUUGGUGUGGCGACGCACCACGGAAAAGUGAAUAUAACGGAAACACUUUUAUUUGACGUUUAUGCAGACAAAAGUUCUUUUACAGUACUACCGUAUCAGUUUGAGCCGGAAUCUGAUCCUGAAAAUGCAGAAGACCAAGAUGAUCCAUCAACUUUGCCUGCGCGUCUUGAGCAGGACGUAAAAGAAUG